rfam:Felis catus isolate Cinnamon breed Abyssinian chromosome A3, whole genome shotgun sequence.
GCCUGGGUGGCUCAGUCGGUUGAGCGUCCGACUUCGGCUCAGGUCAUGAUCUCACAGUUCGUGGGUUCGAGCCCCGCAUCAGGCU